rnacentral:ncRNA from 1 species
CUUUGCAAACGCGGGAGCUCGGAGCACCGGGCUGAGAGGGCGCUGAAAGCGGAAGCGGCAUCACGCCGACGCGACAGCUGCGCCGACCGACGAACCUGUUACCGGGUAAUGCCGGCGUAGGGAGUAGGUCUCAUGACCAC